rnacentral:rRNA from 1 species
GACGAACGCUGGCGGCGUGCUUAACACAUGCAAGUCGAACGAAGUGGCGAACGGGUGAGUAACGCGUAAUCAACCUGCCCUUCAGAGGGGGACAACAGUUGGAAACGACUGCUAAUACCGCAUACUGAAGGAGGGGAUUGCGUCUGAUUCGGUCGUUGGGGGGGUAACGGCCCACCAAGGCGAUGAUCAGUAGCCGGGUUGGGAGGAUGAACGGGCAAAAUGGGACUGGGGAACGGCCCAGACUCCGACGGGAGGCAGGAGGGGGGAAGUUUCCGAAAUGGACGAAAGUCUGACGGAGCAACGCCGCGUGAGUGAUGACGGCCUUCGGGUUGUAAAGCUCUGUUAAUCGGGACGCGGUACCGGAAGAGAAAGCCACGGCUAACUACGUGCCAGCAGCCGCGGUAAUAC